UACGUAGGGUCCGAGCGUUGUCCGGAAUUAUUGGGCGUAAAGAGCUCGUAGGCGGUUUGUCGCGUCUGCUGUGAAAUCCCGAGGCUCAACCUCGGGCCUGCAGUGGGUACGGGCAGACUGGAGUGCGGUAGGGGAGAAUGGAAUUCCUGGUGUAGCGGUGGAAUGCGCAGAUAUCAGGAGGAACACCGAUGGCGAAGGCAGUUCUCUGGGCCGUAACUGACGCUGAGGAGCGAAAGUGUGGGGAGCGAACAGG
rnacentral:rRNA from 1 species